rnacentral:rRNA from 1 species
CCUACGGGAGGCAGCAGUAGGGAAUAUUGGGCAAUGGACGCAAGUCUGACCCAGCCAUGCCGCGUGCAGGAAGAAGGCGUUAUGCGUUGUAAACUGCUUUUAUACAGGAAGAAACGACUCUUGCGAGAGGCAUUGACGGUACUGUAUGAAUAAGCACCGGCUAACUCCGUGCCAGCAGCCGCGGUAAUACGGAGGGUGCAAGCGUUGUCCGGAUUUAUUGGGUUUAAAGGGUGCGCAGGUGGUUUAUUAAGUCAGUGGUGAAAGACGGUCGCUCAACGAUUGCAGUGCCAUUGAAACUGGUAGACUUGAGUAAAGUAGAGGUGGGCGGAAUUGAUAGUGUAGCGGUGAAAUGCAUAGAUAUUAUCAAGAACUCCAAUUGCGAAGGCAGCUCACUUGGCUUUUACCGACACUCAUGCACGAAAGUGUGGGUAUCAAACAGGAUUAGAUACCCUGGUAGUCCACACUGUAAACGAUGAUAACUAGGUGUCGGCCGAAUCUGGUCGUGCCACAGCGAAAGCGUUAAGUUAUCCCNCGNGGAGGACGCCGCGACGAGAACGACGAAAGAAGUAGACGGCGUGAGACGAGACGACGGACGACGACGAGGGGAGGAGG